rnacentral:rRNA from 1 species
UGGGGAAUUUUGGACAAUGGGGGCAACCCUGAUCCAGCCAUGCCGCGUGCGGGAAGAAGGCCUUCGGGUUGUAAACCGCUUUCGGCCGGAACGAAAUCGCGCGGGUGAACAUCCCGCGUGGAUGACGGUACCGGAAGAAGAAGCCCCGGCUAACUACGUGCCAGCAGCCGCGGUAAUACGUAGGGUGCGAGCGUUAAUCGGAAUUACUGGGCGUAAAGCGUGCGCAGGCGGUCUCGUAAGACAGGUGUGAAAGCCCCGGGCUUAACCUGGGAAUUGCGCUUGUGACUGCGAGGCUGGAGUGCGGCAGAGGGAGGUGGAAUUCCACGUGUAGCAGUGAAAUGCGUAGAGAUGUGGAGGAACACCGAUGGCGAAGGCAGCCUCCUGGGCUAGCACUGACGCUCAUGCACGAAAGCGUGGGGAGCAAA